ensembl:lncRNA
GUUGUGGCACCUUCACUUGCCUGAUGGGAUACUGUUAAUGCAGGGGCAGAGCUUGAUUGACCAUGACCAUACAGGCUCGCGAGCCCAUGAGACGGCCCAUAACCAGUUGAGCCUCGGCUUUGAGAACCAUGGAAGGAGCUUGAAGUACUAGAUGAGCCAUUAGCUGUUGCGACAGCUACAGUUGCCUGCCGAGUUCCAGUUAACGUGGGGGCAGAGCCAAGUUGAUUCGUGCCUUGCUGUGUCUGGAAACUACCAAAGGGCCUGGAAAAUCCUUGAGACAGUCCAUAGACAGUUGAGCCUCGGCUUUGAGAACCACUGUGGGAGCUUGAAGUACUAGACGUAGAACCACUGGAAACAGCACUCCCAGAGGCCUGUUGGGUCACAAUGGCAGGGCUUGAUUGACCACCACCAUACUGGCUUGCGAGCCCUUGAGACAGUCCAUAGCCAGUGGAGCCUUGAGAACCACUGUAAGCACUCGAUAAACUGGAGGUGGAGGAACCAUUAGCUGUUGUGGCACCUUCAGUUGCCUUCUGGGUUACAGUUAAUGCAGGAGCAGAGCCAAGUUGAUUUGUGCCUUGCUGUGUCUGGAAACUAACAUAGGGUCUGGAAAGUCCUAGGGACAACCAGUCGGAAAGUGUGCUUUGCGAACCAGUGUGGGAGCUGGAAGACAUGCCAGAGGCUUGUUGGUUCAACGUUAAAGCAGGGGCAGAGCUCAAUUGGUUUUUGUCUUGCUGUGUUUGGAAACUACCAUAUUGGCUGCCAAGCCCUUGUGAAAGCCCAUAGACAGUUGAGCCUCUGCUUUGUGAGGCAACGUUCUGUUUUCGGAAAGCUUGAAAACCUGGGAACACUGGCUUGUAGUAAACAAAAGAGCCAUUUGUCAGGGCUUCCGAUGAAGAUAAGCCUGUCCAUAAAUCUAUCUUAGUUUGCAGAACUCCAGCAUUGGUUUUACUUUCAUCCCUCAAGGCUGUGGAAGUUUGGGCUCCAUCAGGAAAGGAUGCAGUUUCCUGCAGCUGAUCCAGAGAGGUCUUGCCAUCAACACUGUACCAAUCUUCUGCAGGGCUUUUACUCCACACUUGUUAGAAGAAAAAUAAUUUGAAGGUCAUACAGACACAACAAUUUAUGAACAUCAAU